UUUUUGUUGUGGCCCCUCUGACGACAUACGCUACAUUUUUUUCUAUGCCCACCAACACGCAUUUGGGUGUCAUCCUUAGUUAGCUCCCAUGGCUCCAACCUCCUUUUUUCUUUGGUCUCCUUGGCAUCUUCCUCUUAACUGGUGGUAGUACAUCAGGAUAGGUUGUUCUUUCCCAUAACAAGUGGCCAUUGACUGGAAAAAUUAUUGACGCAUACGUCUCUUCAUAUUGGAUCUUCUAAAGCAAGUAGGU
rnacentral:lncRNA from 1 species